rnacentral:rRNA from 1 species
UACAAGAGGGGCGAGCGUUAUUCGGUCAAACUGGGCGUAAAGCGUCUUUAGGCGGUUUUUCGAGUGUUAACAUCUAAAAUUCAGAACGUUACUCUGAAAUGUAUGUUAAGACUGUUUUUCUAGAGUUUUUGAGGGGUUAGUGGUAUUCCUCAUGAGGGUUAAAAUUCUUAGAAAGAAGGAAGAGCACCGCGGGUGAAGACAACUAACUAGCUAAACUGACGCCAAGGACUAAAGCAUGGGGAGCGAGUCGGGA